AUUGAACGCUGGCGGCAUGCCUUACACAUGCAAGUCGAGCGGAGCGGCGGACGGGUGAGUAAUGUCUAGGAAUCUGCCUGGUAGCGGGGGAUAACUUCCGGAAACGGGCGCUAAUACCGCAUACUAUCAGAUCAGCCGAGGUCGGAUUAGCUAGUUGGGGGGGUAAAGGCCUACCAAGGCGACGAUCCGUAACUGGUCUGAGAGGAUGAUCAGUCACCCUGGGACUGAGACACGGUCCAGACUCCUACGGGAGGCAGCAGUGGGGAAUAUUGGACAAUGGGCGAAAGCCUGAUCCAGCCAUGCCGCGUGUGUGAAGAAGGUCUUCGGAUUGUAAAGCACUUUAAGUUGGGAGGCGUUACCAACAGAAUAAGCACCGGCUAACUACGUGCCAGCAGCCGCGGUAAUAC
rnacentral:rRNA from 1 species